UUUUCACAAGAAUUUUAAAUUUCAGCUGCGAACCAUAUCGACGCAUCUUUACAUGCCAGACCAUCGACAUCGAACAGUGUAGCUGCAAACCAGAUUCAAAUCAGAUCUACACAUGCCAGAGUACCUCUGUCAACAUCAAACAGUGAAAAUGCACAAACUUCAGCUGCUGCAUCUACGAGUACAGGCCAAGCUUGUCUGCAAUCUGGAAUAAGCAUGCGACCGGAUAAAGCGUCAAUACCAGCGAAACGCCCCCGCUUUGCUGACGAACAACGUGGCGGAUCUAGGGAUACUCUAGUUCUUGCUUCUGAUAAUCGAAAAACGCAGCGAGCAAUUCAAAAGACUAGAUUACAAUACAACGAAGAAAGAAUUGCUGAAGAAGCUCAACCUGAAGUGGAAUCGAGUUUACUUUAUUAACCUUUUGCCUAAUAGGUAACUUAAGGACUUAAUCCAGAUAAAUUGUUUUUAAAUCCAUCUUUAAAACAUGGUAUCAAAGAGAAUUUUAAAUAGAGAGUUACUGUCAUGAUGGUAAAUUAUGUAGGUAUAGUUGGUCAAGCAGAUCUAGUCAGUAGAAAAAGGCGGCAAAUUUGAAAAAUGUAGGCGCGAAGGGAUAUCGUCUCAUAGAAAAUUUUAAUUUCGCGCCUUUUUCUACUGACAAGAUUUGCUUGACCGUCUAUAGCUACAGUACUUCCAUUUGCUGCCAACUUCCGACAGAAAAUUAAACCUGUUAAAACGCCAUUUGACUUUGAUCAUUAAUUAUUCUUUCACUGAUAUCACAAAUAAGUAAUAGUACC